UAAAAACUCCUGGCUCACAGUAUUGUACUUCUGUGAAGGUCAGUCUUAAAAGUGCUGUUUCGUAACUGUUCCUAAAACCAUGUAAAUUCUUAAGGCUGAAGAUUACGUCAUGUUAAGCGGUUAUUCGGUUUGAUUACCAGUGUGGUUGACUGUAUUCGCAAAAACAAGUGGUGGAAACCAGAAGCUCGGCUUUCACAAGAGGCCCACCGCCAUCACCUUGUGCUAAAAUGCGCUGAGAUGGAGCAGGUGUCACAGCAACCACGGACUCAGCCAAAGAGGAGAGCCGGAGAGUAUAGGGGAUCCCACUAUAGGCAUUUACAGUAGGUCCAGCCUUUGAUGGGACUCAGGACAGAAUCAGAGAGAAACACACGCAGUGGAACUACAGGAGCCCACACAGCCAAGCACAAAGAGCCACUGUGCAUUCCCAAAGAAAACUCCAGCUCCACACAGAUGCUGCCCCUGCCUGAUUCACUCCCAUCCACAAAAAGCACAGAGCAAUCAUGAGACACCUGCCAGACAAGAAGAGAACUGUCAGAUGAGUUGAUAUAUUUCAUGCAUUAGAGCAGACCUCCUCUGAAAUUUUUAUACCUUGACGAUUUCUUCAUUGGCUGAAUGACACUUCACCGCUGUGGUCACAUCUGAUACUUUACCAUCAAGGCCCACUGCUAGGACAAUGACAGGAAGUGACACAGGCUGGCUCGUCAAGAUAGCUGUGUUGAUAAUUGUGUUGCUCUGCCAAU